UAUCGUACCCCAAACCGACACAGGUGGUCGGGUAGAGAAUACCAAGGCGCUUGAGAGAACUCGGGUGAAGGAACUAGGCAAAAUAGAACCGUAACUUCGGGAGAAGGUUCGCUCUUGACAGUGAAGUCCCUUGCGGAUGGAGCAGUUGGGAGUCGCAGUGACCAGAUGGCUGGGACUGUUUAUCAAAAACACAGCACUCUGCAAACACGAAAGUGGACGUAUAGGGUGUGACACCUGCCCGGUGCCGGAAGGUUAAUUGAUGGGGUUAGCGCAAGCGAAGCUCUUGAUCGAAGCCCCGGUAAACGGCGGCCGUAACAAUAACGGUCCUAAGGUAGCGAAAUUCCUUGUCGGGUAAGUUCCGACCUGCACGAAUGGUGUAACCAUGGCCAUGCUGUCUCCACCCGAGACUCAGUGAAAUCGAAUUCGCCGUGAAGAUGCGGUGUACCCGCGGCUAGACGGAAAGACCCCGUGAACCUUUACUACAGCUUGGCACUGAACAUUGAACCUACAUGUGUAGGAUAGGUGGGAGGCUUUGAAGCGGGAACGCUAGUUCUCGUGGAGCCGUCCUUGAAAUACCACCCUUGUAUGUUUGAUGUUCUAACGCAGGGCCCUGAAUCGGGCUCGCGGACAGUGCCUGGUGGGUAGUUUGACUGGGGCGGUCUCCUCCCAAAGAGUAACGGAGGAGCACGAAGGUUGGCUAAUCCUGGUCGGACAUCAGGAGGUUAGUGCAAUGGCAUAAGCCAGCUUAACUGCGAGACGGACAGGUCGAGCAGGUACGAAAGUAGGUCAUAGUGAUCCGGUGGUUCUGAAUGGAAGGGCCAUCGCUCAACGGAUAAAAGGUACUCCGGGGAUAACAGGCUGAUACCGCCCAAGAGUUCAUAUCGACGGCGGUGUUUGGCACCUCGAUGUCGGCUCAUCACAUCCUGGGGCUGAAGUCGGUCCCAAGGGUAUGGCUGUUCGCCAUUUAAAGUGGUACGCGAGCUGGGUUCAGAACGUCGUGAGACAGUUCGGUCCCUAUCUGCCGUGGGCGUUGGAUGAUUGAAGGGAGUUGCUCCUAGUACGAGAGGACCGGAGUGAACGAACCUCUGGUGUUCGGGUUGUCACGCCAGUGGCACUGCCCGGUAGCUAAGUUCGGAAUCGAUAACCGCUGAAAGCAUCUAAGCGGGAAGCGAGCCCUGAGAUGAGUCAUCCCUGACCCCUUGAGGGUCCUAAAGGGCCGUUGGAGACCACAACGUUGAUAGGUGGGGUGUGUAAGCGCGGCGACGUGUUGAGCUAACCCAUACUAAUUACCCGUGAGGCUUAACCGA
rnacentral:rRNA from 1 species